GUACUCCCUUUGGCAGCACAAAUACAAAAACUGGAACGAUAUAGAGAAGAUUGUCAUGACCCUUGUGCAAGGACCACAUAAAAGUUACCCAGGAAAAAUGUGAAAAUUUU
ensembl:snRNA U6 U6 spliceosomal RNA